rnacentral:rRNA from 1 species
GACGAACGCUGGCGGCGUGCUUAACACAUGCAAGUCGAACGGAAAGGCCCUGCUUUUGUGGGGUGCUCGAGUGGCGAACGGGUGAGUAACACGUGAGUAACCUGCCCUUGACUUUGGGAUAACUUCAGGAAACUGGGGCUAAUACCGGAUAGGAGCUCCUGCUGCAUGGUGGGGGUUGGAAAGUGUCGGCGGUUGGGGAUGGACUCGCGGCUUAUCAGCUGGUUGGUGGGGUAGUGGCUUACCAAGGCUUUGACGGGUAGCCGGCCUGAGAGGGUGACCGGCCACAUUGGGACUGAGAGACGGCCCAGACUCCUACGGGAGGCAGCAGGGGGGAAUAUUGCACAAUGGGCGGAAGCCUGAUGCAGCAACGCCGCGUGCGGGAUGACGGCCUUCGGGUUGUAAACCGCUUUCGCCUGUGACGAAGCGUGAGUGACGGUAAUGGGUAAAGAAGCACCGGCUAACUACGUG